AUGUCUGCCAUGGAGAUUUUUGGGCAUGUCAGAGAAGUUGAUUGUUAUCCAAAUAUCUUCAUUGCUUAUCGCAUCUUAUUUACUGUGCCUGUGACGGUCGCAUCGGCUGAAAGAAGCUUUUCAAAGCUGAAAUUGUUGAAGAAUUAUUUGAGGUCAACAAUGACUCAAGAGAGGUUAAAUGGUUUGGCUACAUCAUGCAUCGAGAAGAAAUUAUUGGAUGGGAUUGACAUCGACCCCAUCAUAAGCGACUUUGCAUCGAGAAAUGUUAGAAGAAUUUUUUAA
rnacentral:rRNA from 1 species